UUACUUUUUUCUACUCGAGACACGCUUUCAUGUUGUUGAUCUUGUCGAUUAGUAAACAAAGUUUUCUAUUGGUGUAUGAGGCACAAUAACAUUACUCCUGCAAACUCGUCUGGAAACAAAAAAGAGAAGCUGCUGUAAAAUUAAGAAUGGAAGCUCCUAAAAAUAUGGAUAAAGCAGCAUGGACUAAAGAAAUGUUGCAUGUCUUUUGUGACCUUUGCAUUAAGGCUAUCAACAUAGGAAUGAGACUAAAUACUCAUUUCGACAAAACUGGUUGGAAAUAUUUGUUGGCAUCAUUUAAAGAACACACUGGGCAUGCAUUCACCAAGGCACAACUG